rnacentral:rRNA from 1 species
UACGUAGGGUGCGAGCGUUGUCCGGAUUUAUUGGGCGUAAAGAGCUCGUAGGCGGCUUGUCGCGUCGGAUGUGAAAGCCCGGGGCUUAACUCCGGGUCUGCAUUCGAUACGGGCAGGCUAGAGUGUGGUAGGGGAGAUCGGAAUUCCUGGUGUAGCGGUGAAAUGCGCAGAUAUCAGGAGGAACACCGGUGGCGAAGGCGGUUCUCUGGGCAUUACCUGACGCUGAGGAGCGAAAGUGUGGGGAGCGAACAGG